rnacentral:pre_miRNA from 1 species
GUGGGCAUCUUACCGGACAGUGCUGGAUUUCUCAGCUAGACUCUAACACUGUCUGGUAACGAUGUUCAA